rnacentral:rRNA from 1 species
CCUACGGGAGGCAGCAGUGAGGAAUAUUGGUCAAUGGACGAGAGUCUGAACCAGCCAAGUAGCGUGAAGGAUGACUGCCCUAUGGGUUGUAAACUUCUUUUAUAUGGGAAUAAAGUGUUCCACGUGUGGGAUUUUGUAUGUACCAUAUGAAUAAGGAUCGGCUAACUCCGUGCCAGCAGCCGCGGUAAUACGGAGGAUCCGAGCGUUAUCCGGAUUUAUUGGGUUUAAAGGGAGCGUAGGUGGAUUGUUAAGUCAGCUGUGAAAUUUUGGGGCUCAACCCGAAACUUGCAGUUGAAACUGGCAGUGUUGAGUCCGAGGAAAGUAGGCGGAAUUAGUGGUGUAGCGGUGAAAUGCUUAGAUAUGACGAAGA